ACGUCGCCGCCGCUGCGUGCACAGUUGGUGGCUGCGAAGAGCCCUGCGAGGUAGGACAAGUGAGAGGGCGCUCCAGAAAGAGGUGAUCCAAAUUAAGACUUCCCUGAUAUGGAUGCUUGUCCGGCUCUGCUUAAGUACAUCCAGAGAGAAGCUUUCUUUUCUAAGAAUUACUCCCAAUAUUGAACUACUCCUACAGGACCCAUAGCAUGCCCUUCCUGGCAGACCUGAUAAGACAGGUUGAUGUGAUUGGAGAGAAAUGGUGGACCCUCAGAUACCCUGCCUUCAUGCCAGGUACUUGGGAUUUAAAAAAAAAUGUUUUUGGAGAAGGAAAAAAGCCUGCCACAAGCAGCAAUCCAGGAGCUGCCGUUCCAAAUUCUAUGGCAGGAGCAAUAUGUACAGUAAACUGAAGGACAUCCCCAAGACUCCCAGAAGAACAAAAGUAAAAUUUAUGAUCAAUAUGGAAAUCCAAAAAGUGGAAUGAUAUGCUCAGAGAAAAAGAAGCUCUUCUUAUGAAAACAGUCCCAUCGAGCACCUAAGGCCCAACAUGAGACAGCCUGUGUCAGAAGAGACCUGUCAGCCAAAAUUUUGACAAAGAGGUCCACGAGAUGAAUAGCAAGGCAGCUGAAGAAGCUCUGUUGGAGGACAACCAGUUCAACAGCAUCACUAGCUGCAUUGCUAGGUCAGUCUUUGUUUCUUUGAUAGUGAGUAUGGAAAAUCUGUUUGCAAUACUCAAAAAAGUAAGGAGGAAGAGAAUAAAAGUCAAAAGAAUACAUUACUUCUUUUAUUAGAACAGUUAUACCUCUUCCUAGGUCAGAAGAUGUUUAAAACAGUCACUCAUGCCCUGAUCAGCUUGCAAUUUGACUACUACAGCAAACUCCACAUAGGACUGCUCUUGAAUACCAUCUGGAAGCUUCAGUUGGACCAUGGCCAAUUCAACAGUUGACUUUGGAUUCUCUGCUCCUCUCCCUUCUUGUUUCCUGUCAGGAUCUUUUGGAAAAGACAAUACUUUAAGCCGUUUCACCACAGAACUAGCCGCAUUGCUGACAAUAUAUGACAUCAGUUCAGCCUUUUGUUUCUUUCUUAGUUGGUAAGGAAAAUUUGUCUACACUACUCAGUGAGUAAGAAGAGGGAGGCCUUUCAGAAAGUCAUUUACACUCUGGUCACCCUUUAGCUUGACUAUCACAACCACGUUACAUAGGGCUGGCUUUGAAUCCCACCAGGAAGUUUCAAUUGGAUCAUGGCUAUUUUGGACUUUUUCAGUUAAGAUCACCAAACUGAAGAUGUUUUCCUUGUGAAGUGGAGAGAAGAGGAAAGUAGCUUGACUCACCAUGUCUUCUAGUGAUUGAUCCAGGUUCUCCUAUUCUCUUGAGAAAAAUGAAACCAAGGUUGUUGACUAAAAGUUCACUGUUGUCUCUUCUUUCAUCUCAAAGUUUGCUUCAGCAAGGUUCCAGCAACCGUGGAUUUACUCAUAGAAAGCAUGCUCCUUGAUGUAUGGUUUUCCUGCGAACGGCCUCCGUGGAGAUAAAUGAUGUUUCAAAGCCAUUACAUUCACCAACAUUUCCAGGAUUUCCUUUGGUGGUGUUGGCAUGUCUGGACCAAUAUUCCAGAAAAGCUUUUCUUUUCACGUGGAGAAGUUGCCCUUGGCCUUAUAUCCAGAGGCUUUCUUUGUCCAGCUCUUACCUCAGAGCAUUUUUAUUUUGAAGGUAAGGGUAUAAAACAUCUCAGAAGGAAUUUGAAGGAAUAUUUGGCCAUUGUGAACAUUAAUAGAAUCAAGUGUUAAAGUUGUUGUUAAAUGACCCACUGUGAACAAUAAUUGGGGUGGGGGGUGGGGAUGUUCUUGAGGAGAAGCAUCAAGUACCAUAAGAAUAUUGGCAUGUCAUAAGAGCUGUUUUUCUUCAUGCAAAGAUAUCGUCAUUAAGAUGUCUGUUCAGCUGUAAUGUUCCAAAGCCAGAUGUGGGUUAGGGAUAGUGAUCAACAGCAACCUAUUUCUUUUUUUUUUCAAGUUUUUUUUAAAUUUCAAUCUACACAUACACAAUACAUUAACAGUGUGGCAUCAAUA